CACCUCUGUUCGCUCGCGCCCUAGCUCACUUCGGUGUGUCAGUGUGCCACUUACCAAAAAGCAUACC